rnacentral:rRNA from 1 species
GAUGAACGCUAGCUACAGGCUUAACACAUGCAAGUCGAGGGGUAACAAGAGAAAAGCUUGCUUUUCUUGUUGACGACCGGCGCACGGGUGAGUAACGCGUAUCCAACCUGCCUAUAACUAGGGAAUAACCUUGCGAAAGUAAGACUAAUACCCUAUGAUUUCCUUUGAUGACAUCAGAUUAGGAAUAAAGAUUUAUCGGUUAUAGAUGGGGAUGCGUCUGAUUAGCUUGUUGGCGGGGUAACGGCCCACUAAGGCAACGAUCAGUAGGGGUUCUGGGAGGAAGGUCCCCCACAUUGGAACUGAGGCACGGUCCAAACUCCUACGGGAGGCAGCAGUGAGGAAUAUUGGUCAAUGGGCGGAAGCCUGAACCAGCCAAGUAGCGUGCAGGAUGACGGCCCUAUGGGUUGUAAACUGCUUUUAUACAGGAAUAAAGUUAGCCACGUGUGGUUAUUUGUAGGUACUGUAUGAAUAAGGACCGGCUAAUUCCGUGCCAGCCGCCGCGGUAA